rnacentral:rRNA from 1 species
AUGAAUCACCCACUCCAGACAGCAUUCCUGAAGGGGAGACGAAUCCAUGACGGGAUUUUGUCCCUUCACAAGAUUGUCCACGAGGUGCAAUCGCGCGGGCAGAAGGGUGUCUUUCUAAAGCUGGACAUCCAGAAAGCCUAUGAUCGGCUAGACUGGACCUUUCUGCGGCUAGUCAUGCAGCACAGAGGCUUCGAGGACAGAUGGUGCAACUGGAUUAUGCAGUUGGUACGGUCUGACAAGACGGCGAUUAACAUUAAUGGCGAGGUGGGCCCAUUCUUUUUGUCCUCUGCGGGAGUGAAGCAAGGGGACCCGAUAUCCCCUCUUCUCUUCAAUCUUGCCGUGGAUGCAUUGGCGGGAAUCUCGGAUAAAGCUAGGAGGGCCGGCCACCUCUCGGGAGUUGUUUGUUGGGGAACGUAG